UCGACCUUGUUCAGGGAGAGUACAAUAUGCAGUAUUCCUGGGAAUCGCUAGAUGGUGCACAACAUACAAAGAAAAGAAAAGCAAAGCAUGAUGGGACCUCACGUGAUGACGCCCCUUCCCAAUCAUCAUUUCCUUUUGUGCUUCGCGCAAGGUGCACGCAUCGAGUUUGCUCCGGUAUGAUCCGGUAGUGACUCAGUUUUUCGUUGUUGGAAAAUUAUCAAGUGGUGGAGCUACGAGAAGAACCACUUUCGGCGCACCAUGCCGCCGAUAGGGUAAGCCCCUAUCGGUCGGCUACUAUCGUCGCAGCAGGCCGUAAGACCGGGAAGGGUGAAAAGCCCCUAUCGGCGGGCUACUAUCGGUACUGGCGGUCGAGCUUAGCGCUCAAGGCUUGCCAGGCGCUGGGAAGGACCAAAAGGCCCUUUCGGCGCAACAUGCACGGGAAGAAUUCGGGCCAAGCAUGCCGUAGAACCUGGAGGUUAUCGGCGAGGCUACGUAUACAGACGGCCGUCAUACCUUGUGCCUUACACGGAGCUGGCAUUAUCGGCGCACCAGGCCGAAAAACCUGGAGGAUAGCGCAGCCACAGACGGCCGCUAUGGCCAUGGUGCCCGAGGUUGAGGCACUGGCCCUUUCGGAGAAUUGAGGUAAUACCCCACGUUCUUUGCGCCAGGUGACGCUAAAGAUUCGAGAACGGUGGAAGACUGUUCUCGUGGCCCCAUCCAUAUUCAGAAGGAGCGGCAGCCGCCGUGCCACGUGGGCCGGUCGGGGUAAUCGACAUCUCAAUGGAACUGUAAGUAGAUUACGGGCUCCGGUCGCUCCGUUAUGGUUGCUCGGAUAAGCUUCCAUGUUGAACACGCUGUUAGGCAUGUUGCCGUUGCAUUCUACGCUCGUCUAGGAGGAGCGUCCAGCAGUUUAACCCAUAAUUUAAAGUCGUUUUAUGAGCGGUUGACUUAGGAAAGACGUCAAUCGGCACAGAAAGGGGCCUCCCCUUCUUCUUCUGCUGACUAUGAUACGUCGCAGUUGUCUGACAAGAGAAGCUCCAGGUGAAUAAAAUAUUGGGAGCUUAUGUUAAAGCUUGUCCCUGAGGGAAGCUUUUUUAUGGCAAUAAAGUUAUCAAUUACUUAGCCAUACUAGAAAUGUGUGUCCGUAAUUAGCAUUAUCAUGAAGAAUGCUCCACAAAGACAAUUGACGAAAUUGAAUUCGUCUUGGACGUUGUGUGACUGGUCACGCACGUAGUUAAAUACACAUGUAUGUUCAACGUCUGGCUCUUUGUUGUUACUUAGACAACAAGAUUUAACAUGUUCAUGUUGACGAGUCUAACAUGUUUUUGGUAGUCUUGAUAGAAUAUUGUUCUAUACGAGGAACACGUGUCCUUUCUAAUAAACCAUUGUUAUGCAAACAAUGCAAACAUUGCGAAUGUUGUCGGCAAAUGGUCGGCGGUAUUCCUCCGAACUCCGCUCACUCAGGAUUGACCGUCCCGGGCGUGGUUGCGGAGCAUUCUUAUGAUUCUACUUCUUCCUGGUAAGUAUGUUCCAGAAGAUGGGAAGAAGGAGCUCUGUGUGCUUCACGGAACUUCAGGUAACAUUGUUGUGUUUACCUACUUACUACGGUUAAAACGAUUGUUUACCUUUUUGCUGUUCGGCGCGGCCUUAUCACAAGAGCCGACAAUGGAGUUUUGUUGUGUUCAUUAUAGUGCAAACAGACAAUAUAGUCUGAACAUGGCAGACACUUGUCAGUUAUACACUGUUUAGCCUUGCGUCCACAUCGCUCGGCUUGGAAGUAUCCUCAUCAUUCUUAGCAUGUUGGUGUUUGACACCGGAACGUUGUCUUCUUCCUGUUGUUUUAGGAUGAAGAAAAUAUUAACCACGUUCUUUAACUGGUUGAUUAACUAUUAUAUGCCGACCAUCUGAGCAUUGUAUACAGUUGCUCGCCACGUGCUCGUCCUGGGCUGGCGGGGAUUCCCAGUCACCAGAGCAGGGACUAUUGAGGUAGCCAAUCAGGUAACUUAUCCUUGAUCCAAUCAAGGACACUACCGUUCGAAUAUUGUAGACGUUCAAUACCUCGUAUGCAGGUGUGAAACCUGCUAUUCUUGCCAGUAGACUUACCGAAUCUACAAGCACUUAGUCGGAUGUUUAUAAAUACCGAUGGCUAAUGUUGUAUCAGAAGUGCGAUUCUUGUUAAAUCGCUAGAGGACCCCAUUAAGGGUCAAAAGGUCAUUGGAACGUGCUGGUAACAUAUUGGCCGCCAUAAUUUACGUUCCAGGCUCAGCUAUAGACCUGUUUUUUACACGUUAUACGUUAUCGGGAACAUCACAUUGGUUGAAUCCGACUGAAAGUCCACUAUCAGCGUAACGUUCAGUGGUGUCAUGGUCUUGCUGGUGUCCGCAACAUGACGAAGGCCCACAAUGUACCUUGUCCUUCAGUGCUACUCUUGAUGUGUUGGGGAACAAUGCAAGUUACCAGACACCUUUCUGAACGUCACUAUCCCGAGCUUCCGGCUGUUCUUUCACGAGGAUCAGCCACUUCAUCUAAUGGGUUUCUCCCCUCUAUGAAGGGAAACAAGAGGUUUGUGUUUUUCUCCUCAAAGGUGACUUGAGGAUGGCUCCUUCCCCUUGGGAAAAGGGGGGGGGCAAGUUGAUGGGACUGGACAAUGUGUACCAAGUCCUAAGGAUUAAUGCUUUUUCAGUGUUUGUUCAUCAGGCACUCAGUGUUAUCUAACAGUUAUACUGGUAGGACAUUAGGUCACGAGAACUGACCUUCUUAGACUAUAACUGAUACUUCAGUUGAUACCUGUGCUGUCCAGAUACAGCUUUGGAGUCUGCAUAUUGUACUCUCCCUGAACAAGGUCGAGUCAGUGAGGUAUAAUUGGGGGUUAUGCUAAGAUGUACUUACCAUCUACAGUAUAAUCUGAAUUAUACCUCAUACGAGACCUUGUUCAGGUAUAUCUUCCCACCCUCAGUAACUUAUGUUCAGCUGCAGGGAUUUAGUGAACAUUACCCACCCAUGGACAGCACAGACUUAUUUAUCUACUCUCGCACUCAGUCAAUGAUGAUUGGGAAGGGGCGUCAUCACGUGAGGUCCCAUCAUGCUUUGCUUUUCUUUUCUUUGUAUGUUGUGCACCAUCUAGCGAUUCCCAGGAAUACUGCAUAUUGUACUCUCCCUGAACAAGGUCUCGUAUGAGGUAUAAUUCAGAUUAUACUG